UACGUAGGCAGCGAGCGUUGUUCGGAGUUACUGGGCGUAAAGGGCGUGUAGGCGGUUUGUUAAGUUUGGCGUGAAAGCUCUCGGCUAAACCGGGAGAGGUCGUUGGAUACUGGCAAACUAGAGGACGGUAGAGGCGUGUGGAAUUCCGGGUGUAGUGGUGAAAUGCGUAGAGAUCCGGAGGAACACCUGCGGCGAAGGCGGGUUGCUGGGCUGACACUGACGCUGAGGCGCGAAAGCUAGGGGAGCGAACGGG
rnacentral:rRNA from 1 species